UGAAUAAUAAACGGGCAUAAGAAUAGUACCGAAGCUAUGGAUGUGUAGUAAUACACGUGGUAGGGGAGCAUUCUAACGUCAGCGAAGGUGUGGCAUGAGCCAUGCUGGAGAUUUUAGAAAAGCAAAUGUAGGCAUAAGUAACGAUAAUAAAGGUGAAAAACCUUUACGCCGAUAGUCUAAGGUUUCCUGAUCAAUGUUAAUCAGAUCAGGGUUAGUCGGGUCCUAAGGCAAACCGAUUUAGGGAAGUCGAUGGCAAACAGGUUAAUAUUCCUGUACCAGCUGAGAGGGACGGAGAGUUGUAGUAGUUACGUACUGACGGAAAUGUACGUUGAGCAUAGCCCUCGGGCGAAGCGAAGCUAUGAAAGCUCUUCCAAGAAAAGCUCCAGCAAUAGCCCGUACCGCAAACCGACACAGGUAGACAAGGAGAGAAUCCUGAGGCGCUCGAGUGAAUCGUGGUUAAGGAACUCGGCAAAUUAACCCUGUAACUUCGGGAAAAGGGGAGCUCUUAUAAUAAUAGGAGCCGCAGAGAAAUGGUCCAGGCGACUGUUUAGCAAAAACACAUAGAUCUGCUAAAACGAAAGUUGAUGUAUAGGUCUUGACACCUGCCCGGUGCUGGAAGGUUAAGAGGGGGGGUUAGCCGCAAGGCGAAGCUCUGAAUCGAAGCCCCAGUAAACGGCGGCCGUAACUAUAACGGUCCUAAGGUAGCGAAAUUCCUUGUCGGGUAAGUUCCGACCUGCACGAAUGGUGUAACGAUCUGGACGCUGUCUCAACCACGAGCUCGGUGAAAUUGUAGUAUCGGUGAAGAUGCCGGUUAACCGCAACGGGACGGAAAGACCCCAUGCACCUUCACUACAGCUUUGCAUUGGUUUUGGUUAAAUGAUGUGUAGGAUAGGUGGGAGACUUUGAAGCGGCGUCGCUAGGCGUUGUGGAGUCAUUGUUGAAAUACCACCCUUCAUUUAAUUGAAAUCUAAUCCCGCUAAGCGGGAGACAUUGCAUGGUGGGUAGUUUGACUGGGGUGGUCGCCUCCGAAAGUGUAUCGGAGGCUUUCAAAGGUAUCUUCAGUACGGUCGGUAAUCGUGCGUAGAGUGCAAUAGCAUAAAGAUGCUUGACUGCGAGACCCACAAGUCGAGCAGGGUCGAAAGACGGAUAUAGUGAUCCGGUGGUUCUGAAUGGAAGGGCCAUCGCUCAUAGGAUAAAAGGUACGCUGGGGAUAACAGGCUGAUC
rnacentral:rRNA from 1 species